rnacentral:rRNA from 1 species
GACGAACGCUGGCGGCGUGCUUAACACAUGCAAGUCGAACGGAAAGGCCCUGCUUUUGUGGGGUGCUCGAGUGGCGAACGGGUGAGUAACACGUGAGUAACCUGCCCUUGACUUUGGGAUAACUUCAGGAAACUGGGGCUAAUACCGGAUAGGAGCUCCUGCUGCAUGGUGGGGGUUGGAAAGUUUCGGCGGUUGGGGAUGGACUCGCGGCUUAUCAGCUUGUUGGUGGGGUAGUGGCUUACCAAGGCUUUGACGGGUAGCCGGCCUGAGAGGGUGACCGGCCACAUUGGGACUGAGUUACGGACCAGACUGCUACGGGCGGCAGCAGUGGGGAGUGUUGCACAAUGGGCGGAAGCCUGAUGCAGCAACGCCGCGUGCGGGAUGACGGCCUUCGGGUGGUAAACCGCUUUCGCCUGUGACGAAGCGUGAGUGACGGUAAUGGGUAAAGAAGCACCGGCUAACUACGUG